GCGGUUGGAUAAGUUAGAUGUGAAAGCCCCGGCCUCAACCUGGGAAUUGCAUUUAAAACUGUCCAGCUAGAGUCUUGUAGAGGGGGGUAGAAUUCCAGGUGUAGCGGUGAAAUGCGUAGAGAUCUGGAGGAAUACCGGUGGCGAAGGCGGCCCCCUGGACAAAGACUGACGCUCAGGUGCGAAAGCGUGGGGAGCAAACAGGAUUAGAUACCCUGGUAGUCCACGCCGUAUACGAUGUCAAUUUGGAAGCUGUGCCCUUGAC
rnacentral:rRNA from 1 species